GGAGGUGGAUGGGUGCUGGUGUGCCUACUGGACUUCAAAUCCACGUAUCCCAAUUUAAAGAUUGGGAUGGUAGGUUCGAUUCCUACACACCUCCGCCA
rnacentral:tRNA from 1 species